CAAUAGCGUAUAUUAAAGUUGUUGCGGUUAAAAAGCUCGUAGUUGGAUUUCUGCUGAGAACGACCGGUCCGCCCUCUGGGUGUGUAUCUGGCUCUUUCUUGGCAUCUUCUUGGUGAACGUUGCUGCACUUGACUGUGUGGAGCGCUACCCAGGACUUUUACUUUGAGGAAAUUAGAGUGUUUCAAGCAGGCAUACGCCUUGAAUACAUUAGCAUGGAAUAAUAAGAUAGGACCUCGGUUCUAUUUUGUUGGUUUCUAGAGCUGAGGUAAUGAUUAAUAGGGAUAGUUGGGGGCAUUCGUAUUUAACGGGCAGAGGUGAAAUUCUUGGAUUUGUUAAAGACGGACUACUGCGAAAGCAUUUGCCAAGGAUGUUUUCAUUGA
rnacentral:rRNA from 1 species